rnacentral:rRNA from 1 species
AACGAACGCUGGCGGCAGGCCUAACACAUGCAAGUCGAGCGAUGAAACUCCUUCGGGAGUGGAUUAGCGGCGGACGGGUGAGUAACACGUGGGUAACCUGCCUCAUAGAGGGGAAUAGCCUUCCGAAAGGAAGAUUAAUACCGCAUAAGAUUGUAGUACCGCAUGGUACAGCAAUUAAAGGAGCAAUCCGCUAUGAGAUGGACCCGCGUCGCAUUAGCUAGUUGGUGAGGUAACGGCUCACCAAGGCGACGAUGCGUAGCCGACCUGAGAGGGUGAUCGGCCACAUUGGGACUGAGACACGGCCCAGACUCCUACGGGAGGCAGCAGUGGGGAAUAUUGCACAAUGGGGGAAACCCUGAUGCAGCAACGCCGCGUGAGUGAUGACGGUCUUCGGAUUGUAAAAUUCUUUUACCAGGGACGAUAAUGACGGUACCUGGAGAAAAAGCCCCGGCUAACUUCGUGCCAGCCGCCGCAGUAAUAC